rnacentral:rRNA from 1 species
UAGUCAUAUGCUUGUCUCAAAGAUUAAGCCAUGCAUGUCUAAGUAUAAGCAACUUGUACUGUGAAACUGCGAAUGGCUCAUUAAAUCAGUUAUCGUUUAUUUGAUAGUACCUUACUACAUGGAUACCUGUGGUAAUUCUAGAGCUAAUACAUGCUAAAAACCCCGACUUCAGGAAGGGGUGUAUUUAUUAGAUAAAAAACCAACGCCCUUCGGGGCUCCUUGGUGAAUCAUAAUAACUUAACGAAUCGCAUGGCCUUGCGCCGGCGAUGGUUCAUUCA